GGUGUUUGUUUCUAUGGGGCGACUGCUGAAAGAGUUCUCAAUAUCUUAGCGACUGGGAAAUUCAGAUCAGGUUAGUACACAAAAUCAAAGUAAAAUUCACAGUGUCCUGUUGCGUUCAAUAUACACCAGUAGUCAAGACAAUAAAACAGUCUAUAAUAAUCAAAUCAUGCUCUUUCCUUCGUAACAUAAAAGUUCUCAUCUUUAUGAUUUCUUUUGAUUAACAUAUUCGUAUGUCUAUUUUAACGUACUUAACUUUCUUCAACUCAUUCACAUUAUGUAUAACUAUGAUCUUUCUCCUUCGCUUACUCAACAGUGCGUAAACCAAAGGACUGCUCAGACUUGGACCCUAAGCAUGACAUCAGUGGAGUGUAUACAAUAUAUCCCACUGCCGGAAGGGGAUUCAAGGUUUAUUGUAGUUUUAUGAUCGAACUUUUUUCUUUUAAUUAACAUAGUCAUAUAUGUCUCUUUUGACGUAUUUCCUUCAUUUUCCUUAAUUCAUUCACAUGGUGCAUAAUAUCUGUCUCCUUCGUUUACUCAACAGUACGUAAACCUAAGGACUGUUCAGACUUGGACCCUAAACAUGACCCUAGUGGAGUGUAUAGAAUAUAUCCCACAGCCGGAAAGGGAUUCAAUGUGCAUUGUGAUAUGACGACCGACGGUGGCCGCUGGACUGUGAGUUAUCUGUGAAUUUAAAUUUGUUCAUGCUUUUGCACUUGGAUGAAAAAUAAAGAAUUUAAUUUAAUACGAAUGAUAUUCAACAUGAUAUAUUUCCAAACUCUCACUUGCAUACAAAAGAUGUAAGUUAGCCUUAGCAUGAAUCUAUAACAGCAGUAACGAAUCUAAGAUUUUCAGAAAUCAGGAAGGGAAGGACCAACAGGGGAAAAGAACAAGCAUGUGAGGUCAAAAUUCGAAAAUUGUAAAAAAUAAUAAUAAUUGACUUUUACGCAUCUAAUGUGGGGUUUUUUUUUCCGGACAAGCAGUAACCUGAUAUACCUUUUACAUUCCAAGGUUUUAAUCAGACGAAUGGAUGGUUCUCAAAAUUUCAACAAAAAUUGGAUAGAAUAUGAAAAUGGUUUUGGAGAUUUAAAUCGAGAAUUUUGGUUAGGUAA
rnacentral:lncRNA from 1 species